rnacentral:rRNA from 1 species
CUUAAUUGAAGAGUUUGAUCAUGGCUCAGAUUGAACGCUGGCGGUAGGCUUAACACAUGCAAGUCGAGCGGUAACAGACAUUUUGAUUUUGCUUGCAAAAUCUCGUGCUGACGAGCGGCGGACGGGUGAGUAACGCGUAGGAAUCUACCUAGUAGAAGGGGAUAGCCCGAGGAAACUCGGAUUAAUACCGUAUACGUCCUUAGGGAGAAAGAGGGCUGAGCUUGAUGCUCUCGCUAUUAGAUGAGCCUGCGUAAGAUUAGCUUGUUGGUGAGGUAAAGGCUCACCAAGGCUUACGAUCUUUAGCUGGUCUGAGAGGACGAUCAGCCCACAUUGGGACUGAGACACGGCCCCAGACUCCUACGGGAGGCAGCAGUGGGGAAUAUUGGACAAUGGGCGCAAGCCUGAUCCAGCCAUACCGCGUGUGUGAAGAAGGCUUUCGGGUUGUAAAGCACUUUAAGUGAGGAAGAAAAGAUAAUAGUUAAUACCUGUUAUCCGUGACAUUACUCACAGAAUAAGGACCGGCUAAUUCCGUGCCAGCAGCCGCGGUAAUACGGAAGGUCCAAGCGUUAAUCGGAAUUACUGGGCGUAAAGCGCGCGUAGGUGGUUUAUCAAGUUGGUUGUGAAAGCCCCGGGCUUAACCUGGGAACUGCAGCCAAAACUGAUUCACUAGAGUACGAAAGAGGAAAGUAGAAUUCACAGUGUAGCGGUGGAAUGCGUAGAUAUUGUGAAGAAUACCAAUUGCGAAGGCAGCUUUCUGGUUCUGUACUGACACUAAGGUGCGAAAGCGUGGGGAGCGAACAGGAUUAGAUACCCUGGUAGUCCACGCCGUAAACGAUGACAACCAGCUGUUGGGAAGCAAUGCUUUUCAGUGGCGCAGCUAACGUCUUAAGUUGUCCGCCUGGGGAGUACGGCCGCAAGGCUAAAACUCAAAUGAAUUGACGGGGACCCGCACAAGCGGUGGAGCAUGUGGUUUAAUUCGAUGCAACGCGAAAAACCUUACCUACACUUGACAUACUUGGUAUCUUCUGUAAUCGAAGAGUGCCUUUUGGAACCAAGAUACAGGUGCUGCAUGGCUGUCGUCAGCUCGUGUCGUGAGAUGUUGGGUUAAGUCCCAUAACGAGCGCAACCCUUACCCUUAUUUGCCAGCGAUUCGGUCGGGAACUAUAAGGGGACUGCCGGUGAUAAACCGGAGGAAGGUGAGGACGACGUCAAGUCAUCAUGGCCCUUACGUGUAGGGCUACACACGUGCUACAAUGGGGAGUACAGAUGGACGCUAAAGCGCGAGCUGGUGCUAAUCCCAAAAAACUCCUCGUAGUCCGGAUUGCAGUCUGCAACUCGACUGCAUGAAGUCGGAAUCGCUAGUAAUCGCGAAUCAGCAUGUCGCGGUGAAUACGUUCUCGGGUCUUGUACACACCGCCCGUCACACCAUGGGAGUGUAUUGCACCAGAAGUGGGUAGUCUAACCUUUAGGAGGACGCUCACCACGGUGUGAUCCAUGACUGGGGUGAAGUCGUAACAAGGUAGCCGUAGGGGAACCUGUGGCUGGAUCACCUCCUUA